CUGCCUGCCCGGUGACAUUAGUUAAACGGCCGCGGUAUCCUGACCGUGCAAAGGUAGCAUAAUCAUUUGUUCUCUAAAUAAGGACUUGUAUGAAAGGCCACACGAGGGUUUAACUGUCUCUUACUUCCAAUCAGUGAAAUUGACCUUCCCGUGAAGAGGCGGGAAUAAAAUAAUAAGACGAGAAGACCCUAUGGAGCUUUAAUUAACCAGCUCAAAAGAAUUUAUUUACCAGACCGACAGGAACAACACUCUCCUUCCAUGAGCUGACAAUUUGGGUUGGGGCGACCUCGGAGCAUAAAAGAACCUCCGAGUGAUAUUAAUCUAGACAUACCAGUCAAAAUGCUCACUUACUUAUUGAUCCAAAGACUUCUUUGAUCAACGGAACAAGUUACCCUAGGGAUAACAGCGCAAUCCUAUUCAAGAGUCCAUAUCGACAAUAGGGUUUACGACCUCGAUGUUGGAUCAGGACAUCCUAAUGGUGCAGCAGCUAUUAAGGGUUCGUUUGUUCAACGAUUAAAGUCCUACGUGAUCUGAG
rnacentral:rRNA from 1 species